UUAAAUACAAAACAUUUUUUUAACUAAGAACAAUAUCAACUUUAUGUCAGACAACAUGCAAAGUGUUCUUGUAAGUUUUACAUUUCAUUUUAAUGUGCGUUUGUUUUGUUAGAGUAAUGUUAGAUAAUUAGAUGUGUCAUAAAUUUGGUUUACAUGUAGCAUCGCAUUUUCUUCUUUUCUCUCCAUCAAUAUCAUUGGGUGAAAAUGUUGCUCGGAUCCUUCCCGCUGGUGAUUUUCAUUCUAAUAAGUAGUGACAAAUUACAAGGUCAAGAGACCACGUGCAAAUACCCGUACAAAGAGGUUGGCGCCAGUUGUUAUUACUUCAGUUCAGGCAAAGCCUCAUGGAACGAAGCUUACAUUCAUUGCUUACAUAAAGGGGGUAUUUGGCAAAUUAAGAGACGUUUAAUGAAUAUAUCUUUCUCCGCUCCUGGCUUGCUGCUUUAUAUAAUGG